rnacentral:rRNA from 1 species
AGAGGCGCAGGGUCGAGGAGCUGGACGCGACGUUUUGCUGGUUGGAGUGCUUCUGAACCCCGCCCAUGCCUCGCUUCUUUGGAAGAGAGGAAGGGAUUUAAUUUCAAUUCAUCGGCCUCAGAUUGGUAGGACUACCCGCUGAACUUAAGCAUAUCAAUAAGCGGAGGAAAAGAAACUAACAAGGAUUCCCCUAGUAACGGCGAGUGAAGAGGGAAGAGCCCAAGAUUGAAAGCUGGCGUCUUCGGCGUCCGCAUUGUAAUCUCAAGAAGUGUUUUCCGCUUCGGACCAAGCCUAAGUCCCUUGGAAAAGGGCAUCAUAGAGGGUGAUAAUCCCGUACAUGGCUUGGAGCGCCCGAAGCUUUGUGAUACGCUUUCUAAGAGUCGAGUUGUUUGGGAAUGCAGCUCAAAAUGGGUGGUAAAUGCCAUCUAAGGCUAAAUAUUGGGGAGAGACCGAUAGCGAACAAGUACAGUGAUGGAAAGAUGAAAAGAACUUUGAAAAGAGAGUUAAACAGUACGUGAAAUUGCCAAAAGGGAAGGGUAGGAGGUCAGAGAUGCGGCCUGGGAUUCAGCCUUGCUUUUGCUUGGUGUUUUUCCCAGAUUGCAGGCCAACGUCGGUUUUGGGCACUGGAGAAGGGUAGGAGGAACGUGGCACCUCUCGGGGUGUGUUAUAGCCUCCUACUGGAUACAGCGACCGAGACCGAGGACAGCAGCGUACUCGCAAGAGCGGGCCUUCGGGCACCUU